CCAGAGAUCGUCUUCUUUCACAUCAAUCCUUUGGAGUUCAGGCUCAUAGAAGGUUCCCAAGAUUUCAUCACAAUUGUAGUCCUUCACUCGAUACAGAGAUAGUCCACCGCAUAAUAGGGUUCGGCUGAUGACGGCAAACCGCCGACUUUCUGGAUUAUAAUUGCGAUAGUGGUUUUCUGCAUUCUGAGUCUGCUUGUAGCACUAUGUGUAUAUCUGGCAUUGAGGCGAAAAAAACAGAAAGACGAAGAAAAUCCAGCGACCCCAUACAUCAUAAUGGAAAAUGAGAACAAACACAAA